CUGAAAUGGAAGGGAAGAGAAGCCAAAAAUCCCAUUUUGUAGAGGUGAUAAGAGGAGAAUAAGGCAGUUUCUGACAACUCUAAGGAUACAAUUCUUUUGAGCAAUGCCUUGUUUUAUGAUUAUGGCCAAUGCUGUAGAUGGUAUCUGGUACCAAGUUUUUGUUAUUCUCUGAAGUACAAGUUUUCUGCGCAGAUCUACUGGCAGUGCAUAUGGACUAAAAGAUCUGAUUCAGCCAAGCAUUUAAGGACUGCAUAGGAACACACUGAAGUGGUUUGCUGAAUUGUGGUUCAUGUGCCUGAAGGUGAUAAGAUUUUGGCCCAAACUGGAGCUCGUCUUGUGUCAUCCUGAGAAGCUCCAACCCCUCACAAAGUUCAGCCCUGUGGCUGCCAGAAGCUAGCAGAAGUCUCUCCUUUGUUCUCACGGGAGCGAAGGGAAGGGGCAGGGGAGGGAGCAAAGAUCUGUGUGGGCCCAGAGUCUCUAAAACUCCCUCGUCACCACCAAGGGAAAUAGAGGAAGCAGCAUGUCAUUAAUCCUGUGAGGUCAGGUGCCACAGGAAGUCCUACCCAAGGCAUGUCGUUGCCUGACUGGCUCGCACCCACUACCUA